rnacentral:tRNA from 1 species
UAAAAUAUAGUUUAUAAAAAACAUUUGACUUGCAUUCAAAAAAUAUUAAUAAUUUAAUUAUUCUAG